UUAAGUCGACCGCCUGGGGAGUACGGCCGCAAGGUUAAAACUCAAAUGAAUUGACGGGGGCCCGCACAAGCGGUGGAGCAUGUGGUUUAAUUCGAUGCAACGCGAAGAACCUUACCUACUCUUGACAUCCACAGAACUUAGCAGAGAUGCUUCGGUGCCUUCGGGAACUGUGAGACAGGUGCUGCAUGGCUGUCGUCAGCUCGUGUUGUGAAAUGUUGGGUUAAGUCCCGCAACGAGCGCAACCCUUAUCCUUUGUUGCCAGCACGUAAUGGUGGGAACUCAAAGGAGACUGCCGGUGAUAAACCGGAGGAAGGUGGGGAUGACGUCAAGUCAUCAUGGCCCUUACGAGUAGGGCUACACACGUGCUACAAUGGCAGAUACAAAGUGAAGCGAACUCGCGAGAGCAAGCGGACCACAUAAAGUCUGUCGUAGUCCGGAUUGGAGUCUGCAACUCGACUCCAUGAAGUCGGAAUCGCUAGUAAUCGUAGAUCAGAAUGCUACGGUGAAUACGUUCCCGGGCCUUGUACACACCGCCCGUCACACCAUGGGAGUGGGUUGCAAAAGAAG
rnacentral:rRNA from 1 species